AUGGAGUACAGGCAGACAAGGAGGUACAAUGGGGUACAGUGUCUCUGGGAUCUCAUUCUCUACAUCAGGGAUCUUCCAGAGAAAAAGCAGCAGGAGAAUCUAUGGGAGCGACCUGCAACUUUCUUGCUGGCUUCCCCAUUGAUUUUGCUUGUGUGAAACCGACAAGGGGGACUGCAAAUGGUGAUCCUUAACCACAGGAUGCUGCAACCUUCACAAGUGCCCAAAUCACAAUGAUGUGACGGUGGAAGUGGAGCAACUGCUGGAACUUCAAGGAGUGGUCGUAAUAAAACAAGAUUAAAACAAGAUAUUUAAACUGGAAAGCAAUAGUUGCUGAAAUGUUCCCAUUUCUUUACCAUUUGAAUAUACCAAUCUACAACACCAAGUUUUCAGAAAAGGUAGAAGAAACUUUGAUUGGGAAGAGAUACAGGAAAGCCCCAAUGCAUGCAUGUCUGAAGAUUCAGGGUUUUUUUUAAUGUAUCCUUCAGAAGUACAUGAAAUCCAACCACAGUUCAAUCUACUAUCAAUAAACUGAACUGCACUUAA